rnacentral:rRNA from 1 species
GACGAACCGUGCGAACGUUGUUCGGAUUCACUGGGCUUAAAGGGCGCGUAGGCGGAUCGUUAAGUCGGGGGUGAAAUCCUGGAGCUCAACUCCAGAACUGCCUUCGAUACUGGCGAUCUUGAGUCCGGAAGAGGUGAGUGGAACUCCUAGUGUAGAGGUGGAAUUCGUAGAUAUUAGGAAGAACACCAGUGGCGAAGGCGGCUCACUGGUCCGGUACUGACGCUGAGGUGCGAAAGCGUGGGGAGCAAACAGG